GAGUAGCUGAGUUGGUAGAGCAUGAAACACUUAAUCUCAAGAUCAUGGGUUCGAGCCCCAUGUUGGGCA